rnacentral:rRNA from 1 species
AUUGAACGCUUGCGGCAGGCUUAACACAUGCAAGUAGGACGCAGUUGCGAACGGGUGAGUAACGCGUAUGUAACUACCUAUUAGAUGGGGAUAACUAUUGGAAACGAUAGCUAAUACCGCAUACUAGUAGGUUGACCUGCGUUGUAUUAGCUAGUAGGUAGGGUAAAGGCCUACCUAGGCAACGAUACAUAGACUACCUGAGAGGGGGAUCGGCCACACUGGGACGUAGACACGGCCCAGACUCCUACGGGAGGCAGCAGUAGGGAAUCUUCGGCAAUGGGGGGAACCCUGACCGAGCAACGCCGCGGGAGUGAAGAAGGUUUUCGGAUCGUAAAGCUCUGUUGGUAAGGAAGCGGUACUUAACCAGAAAGGGACGGCUAACUACGUGCCAGCAGCCGCGGUAAUAC